GGUCAAUGAUGAAUAGUAAAAGGGCUGACUCCCCAGGUCCGCUCCCAGCUCCCUUACCAUCCCCAGCCACCUCACUGCCAUCAGGCUCCAGUAGUGCUGUGAUGGGCAAAAGGGCGGCUGACACUCGGUGAUGCCCGGCUCUGUGUUCCUUGGCGAGCUCAGGGAGGACGUGCAGUUGGCAUCCUACAGCCAGUCAUGAAGGGAUUUGCUGGGAGUGCUGGAAUCUGGGGUUAUGAUCUGGCUUUCAAGCUGAGACC
ensembl:scaRNA SCARNA6 small Cajal body-specific RNA 6